rnacentral:pre_miRNA from 1 species
AAUAACCUUAUUUUUCGUUUUUCCGUAUCCAAUGUUUGACCAUUCGUCUUAUUUGAAAAUUUUGUACAAAAAUUUUAAAAAAUUAAUCACGUAUAAAAUACUAUUUAUAUUUUAUCAUCUAGUAACAAUAAAAAUAUUAAUCGUAAAAAAAAUUCAAAUAAAACGAAUGAUCAAACGUUGAACACGGAAAA